rnacentral:rRNA from 1 species
GACGAACGCUGGCGGCGUGCUUAACACAUGCAAGUCGAACGGAAAGGCCCUGCUUUUGUGGGGUGCUCGAGUGGCGAACGGGUGAGUAACACGUGAGUAACCUGCCCUUGACUUUGGGAUAACUUCAGGAAACUGGGGCUAAUACCGGAUAGGAGCUCCUGCUGCAUGGUGGGGGUUGGAAAGUUUCGGCUGUUGGGGAUGGACUCGCGGCUUAUCAGCUUGUUGGUGGGGUAGUGGCUUACCAAGGCUUUGACGGGUAGCCGGCCUGAGAGGGUGACCGGCCACAUUGGGACUGAGAGACGGCCCAGACUCCUACGGGAGGCAGCAGUGGGGAAUAUGGCACAAUGGGCGGAAGCCUGAUGCAGCAACGCCGCGUGCGGGAUGACGGCCUUCGGGUUGUAAACCGCUUUCGCCUGUGACGAAGCGUGAGUGACGGUAAUGGGUAAAGAAGCACCGGCUAACUACGUG